UACGUAGGAUGCGAGCGUUAUCCGGAUUUAUUGGGUUUAAAGGGUGCGUAGGCGGGCUGUUAAGUCAGCGGUCAAAUGUCGGGGCUCAACCCCGGCCUGCCGUUGAAACUGGUGGCCUCGAGUGGGCGAGAAGUAUGCGGAAUGCGUGGUGUAGCGGUGAAAUGCAUAGAUAUCACGCAGAACUCCGAUUGCGAAGGCAGCAUACCGGCGCCCGACUGACGCUGAGGCACGAAAGCGUGGGUAUCGAACAGG
rnacentral:rRNA from 1 species